AAGAAUAACCCCAAGAGCGUGGCUGAGUGUGAGAGAGCGUGUGUGACGUCGGGAGGCGCCGUGGCUUAACCGAACCGCCCCACUCGGCUGUCCCUUGUCUGGACCAAAACUGCUGACUGACUGACCCUGGCGGUCACAGUUGCCCUCUGGGGUUUUUGAAAACCUUAAAUCAAAGUUACUUUUCUCCCUGGCAACUCCCAAGGCUACUUCCGCGGCCUCUGGGCUGUGAACAGAUAAGGACGUGAGUUUCCCCGACCAGGAGCUCCAGCUUUCUAUCCAGGCUCAGUACCUCGUCCUCCCCACUGCGGCAACAGCUUCUCUUUGGCCCUAGGAGUGAGCAUACCAAUGGCAAGUCAGCUCUCUAGAAGAUGGACCAUGGGAUGGCAUGGUGAUUCAGGAAUGAUCUGUCCCAGCGCUCAUGGAGUUUAAAGGCUAGAGGGAAAUCAAACUUUGAACCAGCAAUUAUGUACCAGGAAGACAUCACCUCUCUACUCCGGUGUGAAUUCUUUCACUGCCAUUGCCCCGAAAGGCAGCGGUGCUGGCGGUGCCUUCUCAAAACCGUUGAGCUCUGGAGCCAUGGCCCUGCAACAUGCGGUCGCAUGUGAAGUGUGGUGAUGAUUCCGGUUUGACUACCAUCCGGUGUCAAGUUCCCAUUCGAGCUCCUGAGAUCAAGCCCUGGGAAUUCCACUGUGGGGGAGACGCCGUGGAAGACUUAGACUCCCACCGCUUAUCAGAGGGUGUGCUGGGGCUUGGAGAGACAGAGAGGGAUAGAUUGGGGGUGUAGGAAAUGGGAAAGUAAAGAUGCUGAGGUGAUAAUGAGUAAGACUUUUUAAGAGCACUAAGAAUAGACAAUCCUGGGUGAAGCACAAGGAUGUGGCUUGGCUGGGAAUAGGUGUGUGAGACUGAUGUCCUCAGCCUUUGGGAUGACCUGGAGGGGACUGGAGCUCUGAGAGCAGCCACCUCCAGCUGUGACCAGCUCUGACCAUCUACCCUAAAGUGCCAGGCAAAUAUUAUCAUUUUCAAGAUGUGCCAUGAAUAACAAAGGUUGGGAAGCACUGCUCCAAGACUAGCGGAAGAUGAGACGGGAAAUGUAGCAUGACGCCCUACUGCAAGGAAGUGAGUGCCGGGGUAAAGAAUUUGGUGUUUCCUGGAGGACAGGGAAGAACUGCUGAAGGAUUCUGAUUGACACAAGAUUAGCCUUGUCACAGAGCUAUGAAGUCUUAGACCCAGGAAUGACUCCAAUAAAAAUUAUUUAAUUCACUCAUUCUCAGCCUUAGAGGAGGUGGGAUUGGUCAGGACAUAAUAGUGUCACUUGGAUACUUUUUCAAAAAAAUGUCCACUUCUCUCCCUUUGCAGACUCUGUACAUCUGAUGGGGACCAUGUGGAGGGAUGGCAUCUGUACGUUUAGAGUUUUCUCCAGGUAAACUAGUCUGGUUCCUGCUGAUUAAACGCAGAGUUUUGUUU